UACGGAGGGUGGCAAGCGUUAUCCGGAUUUACUGGGUUUAAAGGGUGUGUAGGCGGGCCAUUAAGUCAGGGGUGAAAUCCCGGAGCUCAACUCCGGAACUGCAUUCGAUACUGCCGUGCUUGAGGACUGGAGAGGAGACUGGAAUUUACGGUGUAGCGGUGAAAUGCGUAGAUAUGUGGAGGAACACCGAUGGCGAAGGCAGCCCCCUGGGUCAAGACUGACGCUCAUGCACGAAAGCGUGGGGAGCAAACAGG
rnacentral:rRNA from 1 species